rnacentral:rRNA from 1 species
AACGCGAAGAACCUUACCAAGGCUUGACAUAUACCUGAAAAGGCUGGAAACAGUCUCCCCGCAAGGCAGGUAUACAGGUGGUGCAUGGUUGUCGUCAGCUCAUGUCGUGAGAUGUUGGGUUAAGUCCCGCAACGAGCGCAACCCUCGUUCUAUGUUGCCAGCACGUAAUGGUGGGAACUCAUAGGAGACUGCCGGGGUCAACUCGGAGGAAGGUGGGGAUGACGUCAAGUCAUCAUGCCCCUUAUGUCCAGGGCUUCACGCAUGCUACAAUGGCCGGUACAAAGGGCUGCGAUACCGCAAGGUGGAGCGAAUCCCAAAAAGCCGGUCUCAGUUCGGAUCGGGGUCUGCAACUCGACCCCGUGAAGUCGGAGUCGCUAGUAAUCGCAGAUCAGCAACGCUGCGGUGAAUACGUUCCCGGGCCUUGUACACACCG